rnacentral:rRNA from 1 species
GAUGAACGCUAGCUACAGGCUUAACACAUGCAAGUCGAGGGGCAGCAUUUCAGUUUGCUUGCAAACUGGAGAUGGCGACCGGCGCACGGGUGAGUAACACGUAUCCAACCUGCCGAUAACUCGGGGAUAGCCUUUCGAAAGAAAGAUUAAUACCCGAUGGCAUAAUUAGACCGCAUGGUCUUAUUAUUAAAGAAUUUCGGUUAUCGAUGGGGAUGCGUUCCAUUAGGCAGUUGGUGAGGUAACGGCUCACCAAACCUUCGAUGGAUAGGGGUUCUGAGAGGAAGGUCCCCCACAUUGGAACUGAGACACGGUCCAAACUCCUACGGGAGGCAGCAGUGAGGAAUAUUGGUCAAUGGGCGCAGGCCUGAACCAGCCAAGUAGCGUGAAGGAUGACUGCCCUAUGGGUUGUAAACUUCUUUUAUAUGGGAAUAAAGUUUUCCGCGUGUGGAAUUUUGUAUGUACCAUAUGAAUAAGGAUCGGCUAACUCCGUGCCAGCAGCCGCGGUAAUACGGAGGAUCCGAGCGUUAUCCGGAUUUAUUGGGUUUAAAGGGAGCGUAGGUGGACAGUUAAGUCAGUUGUGAAAGUUUGCGGCUCAACCGUAAAAUUGCAGUUGAUACUGGCUGUCUUGAGUACAGUAGAGGUGGGCGGAAUUCGUGGUGUAGCGGUGAAAUGCUUAGAUAUCACGAAGAACUCCGAUUGCGAAGGCAGCUCACUGGACUGCAACUGACACUGAUGCUCGAAAGUGUGGGUAUCAAACAGGAUUAGAUACCCUGGUAGUCCACACAGUAAACGAUGAAUACUCGCUGUUUGCGAUAUACAGUAAGCGGCCAAGCGAAAGCAUUAAGUAUUCCACCUGGGGAGUACGCCGGCAACGGUGAAACUCAAAGGAAUUGACGGGGGCCCGCACAAGCGGAGGAACAUGUGGUUUAAUUCGAUGAUACGCGAGGAACCUUACCCGGGCUUAAAUUGCAUUUGAAUAUAUUGGAAACAGUAUAGCCGUAAGGCAAAUGUGAAGGUGCUGCAUGGUUGUCGUCAGCUCGUGCCGUGAGGUGUCGGCUUAAGUGCCAUAACGAGCGCAACCCUUAUCUUUAGUUACUAACAGGUCAUGCUGAGGACUCUAGAGAGACUGCCGUCGUAAGAUGUGAGGAAGGUGGGGAUGACGUCAAAUCAGCACGGCCCUUACGUCCGGGGCUACACACGUGUUACAAUGGGGGGUACAGAAGGCAGCUACCUGGUGACAGGAUGCUAAUCCCAAAAGCCUCUCUCAGUUCGGAUCGAAGUCUGCAACCCGACUUCGUGAAGCUGGAUUCGCUAGUAAUCGCGCAUCAGCCAUGGCGCGGUGAAUACGUUCCCGGGCCU